rnacentral:rRNA from 1 species
UCCGGAUUUAUUGGGCGUAAAGGGCUCGUAGGCGGCUCGUCGCGUCCGGUGUGAAAGUCCAUCGCUUAACGGUGGAUCUGCGCCGGGUACGGGCGGGCUGGAGUGCGGUAGGGGAGACUGGAAUUCCCGGUGUAACGGUGGAAUGUGUAGAUAUCGGGAAGAACACCGAUGGCGAAGGCAGGUCUCUGGGCCGUCACUGACGCUGAGGAGCGAAAGCGUGGGGAGCGAACAGGAUUAGAUACCCUGGUAGUCCACGCCGUAAACGGUGGACGCUGGAUGUGGGGCACGUUCCACGUGUUCCGUGUCGGAGCUAACGCGUUAAGCGUCCCGCCUGGGGAGUACGGCCGCAAGGCUAAAACUCAAAGAAAUUGACGGGGGCCCGCACAAGCGGCGGAGCAUGCGGAUUAAUUCGAUGCAACGCGAAGAACCUUACCUGGGCUUGACAUGUUCCCGACGACGCCAGAGAUGGCGUUUCCCUUCGGGGCGGGUUCACAGGUGGUGCAUGGUCGUCGUCAGCUCGUGUCGUGAGAUGUUGGGUUAAGUCCCGCAACGAACGCAACCCUCGCCCCCGUGUUGCCAGCACCGUUAUGGUGGGGAACUCACCGGGGGGACCGCCGGGGGUUAACUCGGAGAACGGUGGGGA